AGCGAACGCUGGCGGCAGGCUUAACACAUGCAAGUCGAGCGGGUGUAGCAAUACAUCAGCGGCAGACGGGUGAGUAACGCGUGGGAACGUACCUUUUGGUUCGGAACAACCCAGGGAAACUUGGGCUAAUACCGGAUAAGCCCUUACGGGGAAAGAUUUAUCGCCGAAAGAUCGGCCCGCGUCUGAUUAGCUAGUUGGUGAGGUAAUGGCUCACCAAGGCGACGAUCAGUAGCUGGUCUGAGAGGAUGAUCAGCCACAUUGGGACUGAGACACGGCCCAAACUCCUACGGGAGGCAGCAGUGGGGAAUAUUGGACAAUGGGGGCAACCUUGAUCCAGCCAUGCCGCGUGAGUGAUGAAGGCCCUAGGGUUGUAAAGCUCUUUUGUGCGGGAAGAUAAUGACGGUACCGCAAGAAUAGGCCCCGGCUAACUUCGUGCCAGCCGCCGCGGUAAAAC
rnacentral:rRNA from 1 species